GUGCUCACCUCGGAGGCACACAUACUAAAAUUGGAAUGAUACAUAGAAGAUUAGUAUGGCCCCUGCAAAAGGAUGACACGCAAAUUCAUGAAGUGUUCCAUAUUUUU
ensembl:snRNA U6 U6 spliceosomal RNA